UGAAACAUUUUUGUUCAUGUAUGUUUCUGGUUGAAUUUUUGAGGUGGGUUUUGCUUGAAUUUUGAAUUAAGAGAGUCAAAGAACAAUGGAGAGAGAUUUCCUGGGUUUGAAUUCAGAAGAACCGUGGGUUAUGGUUAAGGAAGAGGUUAACACUUAUGGGUACAAACAAAUAGGUUUUACUAAAAGCUCAGGGAUACAAUGGCCCUUUU